ensembl:lncRNA
GUGUGUGAUUUGUAGUCGCUGUAAUGAUCCCUUCAGAAGCUGCCAUUCAUUUUGAAGAACAUUAUGCACUGACGAAAGCUUCUGAGGGUAUUGCUCUGUCCUUCCUCAAUGACUCCUCCACUCUGCAAGCCCGUUCGUCUCUCCUGUAUGAAACACUUGACUUGAUUGGAGUUUCUCGUUUGGAGGGCCCUUGGCUAUCAGGGCCUGAAGCGGUUGCUUUCAUUAUUCACAUGGGGAUUGAAACACUUACAAACAAAAGGAACAGGCUUGAUCAUUAUUAUUUGGGGCUGUUACAUAAAUCUAAUCCAAAACAAAUGUCCUUUGCAGUAAAUGAAUUGGAGAUUGUUAGUCAAGACCCUUUUUGUUCUUCUAUUUCCAAGACCUCCAAAUCAAAUGUGCUUUUAUAACAUUGAAAUACACUAAAGAAAAAGCAAAAAACUAAAUGAAAAAAUAAAUUGCCAGGUGUCCUGAAAGCAGUGUAAAGUAAUUACAUUUUAAAUUAAAUGGGACUUGGGACUUUAUUAACCAUAGAUUUAUAUUUCUAUCUUUCUGUCAUUCUGUUUAUUUCAUACUGUUUUUUUAUCUGUUUGGAUUUUUCCUAAAUGUUCGCAUCUUCAGGUGCGGAAUCUGUGUUCGUUUACAGUUGAGCAGAAACUCCCAAGCAGGUUUUGGACCAAACUUUAAUAGUUUUAACACAUUCAAUGCUCUGUCAGUUCUCUGGAUUAGGAUGAGGAAGCAUUUGCAGGAGGAGUAUCGUCAGAACCUUAACUCAAUCCUUCCCUCAACCCCUGCAUCCCGUUGACUUAGCCAUCUCCUCAGCAUCCAUACAUUCAUACUUACAUAUAGAAAUACAUACACCCACACACACACACACACACACACACACACACACACACACACACACACACACACACACACACACACAGUAAAAAUACAACGAUCCCCCAACCUCAAUCAAUCAAUUGCAUUUUAAAGUCAGUUUUUUUGCCGCCGAUACAAUACACACAAAAUAGCACAGAGGUCACAGCAAGUUUUUAUAAAAGGUAGUCUGCCUGAAGCAACUCAAAACUUACUGCCAGGCUUGUCUGCAUAUGAAAAAAAACAAGUAUUGACCCCAAAAAGCAGUUAUUUUUUCAGGCUUGGUUUUCAUCCAUUCAAGUCCUUCUGCCGUGUCCUUCAAAAAAUUGAUCCGAAGGGCGGAAAGCAAGCAACAAAAUCAACCAAAAACAUUCCACGGUCACAAAAGAAGGAUUUAGUCUCAAAUCCAUGUGUCCAGCCUUAAGAGAAUAUGUCCACCCAGUCCUACAUAGCAAAGAGGACUCUCUCGCUGUACAGCAGAGAUAUAUCUUUACCCACUGACCGCAUUUCAUAGAGUCUCUGACAGGAGUUUGGUGACCUUCGAACUCCAGCAGUUAUUCCUCUUUCUUCAAAAGGUUGUAGACACAGUGGUGCUUUUUUUUCAGUUAUUUUUUUACCGAACAAAUCCUCCAUUUUGUAAUUUGGCAGAGAGGCUUAUUUCCUGUAUUGAUUCUCUUUUUUCUCUUUUUUUAUUUUUUUUACUAAUCCCAACUAACCACCUAUUGAGUGGAAUUUGACGAUGUCACAUCUGUAGGGCGAAGAUGCCCCCAACCACCGGGAUUCAUUUUGCACGUUUUCAGACAUUCAAACCAGAACUUUACAAUCUCUCCGUCUUGUCCUAUCUUAUGCCCUCAAGACAACGCAGCCGUUUUUGGGAACAAGACCAAUAAAGAGUUAAUUAUUCACCAUGUAGUGUCCACUAAAUUAAAUAUUCUGGUGGUUUAGAUGUUGCCGGAAGGGUUGUGGGUUCAACCCCUGCCCCCGUGUCUCCCUCCCUCCUAUCUGCUCACUACGACCUAUAUCUCUGGGGCCGCUGUGGUCUUCAUUUGCUUUGGAUAAAAGCAACUCCUAAAGGAGUUUUUAAGUCUUGCUCUACUUAAAGGUGCAGUGUAUAGAAUUUGGUAUGGUAUGGCAUUCAGCGCAACAGACUUUGUGUAUAAUACAAUAAACAUAUUAACUAUUGUUGUGUUUUCAAUAUCUGAGAAUGAUCCCCUUUAUAUCUAUAUUUUGAGCGGGCCCCAUUCCAAGGGCCCGCCAUGUUUCUAUAGUAGCCCAGAACCAUCAAACAGGUCUAGCGGGAUGUGUUUUAAUUUAACAAUUAUAAUCACUAUCUUACUUGUGAGCUUUGACGUAAAGCUUUCCAGACUAUCAACUCAAUAUGAUUUACAAAUCUAUCAUGGAACUUUGUUACUUCAUACUUGGCUACUUGAUGCUGUCGUCGACGAUGACAUUAUUUUGGAAGUACCUACUGGCAGCUUACACCGUAGCCAGCGUAGCUUCUCCAACGUCAUUGGAAGGUUUCAGUUGGUUGCAACAUCCACGACUCAAUGCCACUUAAUCCUAAACACUGCACCUUUAAGUACUAAGAGAAACCCAACCAAAAACGUCAGACCUUGAUGUUAUAUUACAUUUACGACGGACCAUUCAAUAUACCAAUCGUAUCUCAUGAUAGCAGUUGGGCUUACAGUCUAGGAAAUUUAAAACACUGGGUCAUUUAGUUUGUUUUUAAUGACAACUGCUCACUGCUAACUGAUGUGUCUGGUGAGUGAGGCUCCAGUUAGCUUAGAAGUUAGCUUCUCACUCCCCCCAAAGUCAGUUAUAAAAAGGAACCUCAAUGGUCCCCUGAACGACACAUCUUUUAUUAACCAAUUUAGUCACUAAUCAAUUUCUCUUCAACACUGCACUGCAGUCAUGCAUUACCGGCACUUUGCAGGGGCACCAUGUUAAUGGCGUUUAAAUGUGAAGCCCUGCAGUGCGUUCUGCAGACCAACUGUCAUAUCUUUAAUAUAAAAUCACUGAAUGAAAAAAUCUGCUACGAAAGUUGUAGCAUUAAUAUGUUUAUAUAGGACAUGAAUAAUCCAAUCAAACAAUGGAAGCUAAUACUUAAUAAGUCUCUAAAUGGGUGAUAAUGUUUGUCUCAUCGUCAUCAAACACAGCCCCACAGGGCUUCAAGGAGCUAAUCCGACCAUUUUGAGGAACAGUUUCCUGCAAAUGGUAAUAAAGUUAAUACUUUUUAAUAUUCGUAUUACAAUUACUGUCAUUUUUAUAACAAUUGUAUUACUCUCUUUAAUAUUAGGCCAGACUUUCGUUGUUGUGGUUUUAAUUGUCUAGAGUAAUGAAGAAAAUAGUAAUUAUGAUAAAUAAAUAGGAUUCUUUUGUAUCUUGACUAUUAUCAAACCAAGUAUCAUCUGUUUUAUUUAUCUUAAAAGUCCAGGAGGAGAAUCUGUAUUAAUACAUAAUCAAAUUGAAAGUAUUACCUUAAUAAGACAUUUAAUAUUAGAUAUUAUAGACAAUGUAAAGGUUUGCCUUUGUGUUGGCUUACUCUUUAAGCUGUGGUCCUUACGACCUGACCUUAAAUAAAUUAGGGAAAGACAGGAUAUGGUUAGAUAAAUAUACAUAUAAUUAUUAUAAUCAAUUUGGUAUGUUCCCCUGCCGUCUGUCUCUUCAUACUUAUUAUUACAUCAUAGUUAAUUUUUUUUGGAUUCCUUUCUUUAUUCUACAGAUAUUUGAAAUGCUCCAAUAAACAGUAAAAUGAUGAAAUCAAAAGUUUUUACCAAAAUAUACCUUGGAGACUUGGUGAAAUACUGCAUCAACAUAAACAUGCAGUAUCUUUAUAUUAGUUGUAGAUUCAAUUAACUUCGAUUUAUGUCUCUAGUUUUUGGGCUUCUAACUAGUGUUUGAACAUAAAGUAUUGGAUACCAUUUUACCAUUUGUCUCUUGUAGAACUGGUUUAACUUUGGAAUGCAAGAAUACUACUUCAUACCUCAUUCUUCUGUUUGACACAUUCGUCUGUUUAACCUUCUGUUAAACCCAACCGCGGAUAAAAUGGUGGAAACUCUCUGAACAUCGCCCUCGGUGACAUACGCAACCACAUCUCAAGAGGCUCGUACCAAAUCAACCAAAGCCAAGAA